AGCGCCUCAAGUGGUACCCACGAAUAUUGGGCCUAGAGCGUCCGUAGCUGGACGAUUAAGUCUACUGUGAAAUAUUAGGGCUUAACCUUAAUGCGUGCAGUAGAUACUGAUCGUCUCGGGAAUGGGGGAGGUUUGGGGUACUUCCGGGGUAGGGGUAAAAUCCGUUGAGCCUGGAAGGACCACCAGUGGCGAAGGCGCCAAACCAAAACAUGUCCGACAGUGAGGGACGAAAGCUGGGGGAGCGAACGG
rnacentral:rRNA from 1 species